AUGUCUUUCGGCCUUGUCAAUGCUCCUCCAACAUUCUCUCGGAUGAUGAAUUUCAUCUUCAACCCCUAUACCAAUGAAUUCGUCCUGGUGUAUCUCGAUGAUAUCUUGGUCUUCUCCAAGAAUAAGAAGGACCAUGCCAAACAUUUGCGAUUGGUGCUCGACAAGCUCAGAGAGUAUCAAUUUUAUGCGAAGUUCUCAAAAUGUGAGUUUUGGCUUGAUGAAGUUCUUUACCUUGGUCACAUCAUCUCUGCCAAGGGCAUCGCUGUUAAUCCCGAGAAGGUGUUGGCGGCAGUUGUCCAUGCAUUAAUAACGUGGAGACAUCUCUUGUUGGGAAGAAAAGUGGACAUAUUCACCGAUCACAAGAGUCUCAAGUACAUUUUCACUCAGCCCAACUUCAACCUCAGGCAGACUCGAUGGGUCGAAAUGAUUCAAGAGUACAAUCCGAGUAUUGAAUAUACUCCAGGCAAAGCCAAUGUCAUUGCAGAUGCUUUAAGCAGGAAGGCUUAUUGCAACAGCUUAAUUCUCAAGCCAUUCCAACCGGAUCUUUGUGAAGCUUUCCGGUAG
rnacentral:rRNA from 1 species